UACGUAGGGGGCAAGCGUUGUCCGGAAUCAUUGGGCGUAAAGCGCGUGUAGGCGGCCCGAUAAGUCCGCUGUGAAAGUCCGGGGCUCAACCCCGGAAAGCCGGUGGAUACUGUCGGGCUAGAGUGUGGAAGAGGCGAGUGGAAUUCCUGGUGUAGCGGUGAAAUGCGCAGAUAUCAGGAAGAACACCCGUGGCUAAGGCGGUUCUCUAGUACGGUACUGACGCUGAGGCGCGAAAGCGUGGGGAGCGAACAGG
rnacentral:rRNA from 1 species